GUACUCACUUUGGCAUCAUAUAUACUAAAAAACUGGAACCAUAUAGAGAAGAUUAGUAUGGCCCAUGCCCAAGGAUGACACAAAAGUACAUAAAGCAUUCCAUAUUUUU
ensembl:snRNA U6 U6 spliceosomal RNA